UUUAUCAUCUGAAAGCUUGAUGGAGUCACAUACAAGAUCGGUAGAUCCAUUGCUCAAUUCGUACAGUGACUACGAAGACAAGCCUGACUAGUUUUACCAAAAUUGCUGGUCUUGCUUGGAGUUCCCGAGAGCCAUGGAUUUUUGCAUCAUUAUCCUAUGAUGGGAGGGCAGUAUGAAGAGAAUGCCUGCAAUCGUGGUGGGUAUUGCAACUUUAUGCAUCUGAAAAGGAUUGGCAGAGAGUUGAGACGCCAAUUGUUUGGGAGGUAUCGCUCAAGGCAUAGCCGCAGUCGGAGCAGAAGUUGAAGUCCUUAUAGGCAUCGCAGCUAUGAUGAGCGCCCUCAUGGAGGUUGUGGGCACAGUAGAAGGAUACUGUAGGU